CUGAGGUCAGGCAAGAACACCCGCUGAACUUAAGCAUAUCAAUAAGCGGAGGAAAAGAAACCAACAGGGAUUGCCCUAGUAACGGCGAGUGAAGCGGCAACAGCUCAAAUUUGAAAUCUGGCGCAAGCCCGAGUUGUAAUUUGUAGAGGAUGCUUCGGCGUCGGCCCCGUUCUAAGUUCCUUGGAACAGGACGUCCUAGAGGGUGAGAACCCCGUCUUCGAUCGGGUCGCCGUCGCCAUGUGAAGCUCCUUCGACGAGUCGAGUUGUUUGGGAAUGCAGCUCUAAGCGGGAGGUAAAUUUCUUCUAAAGCUAAAUAACGGCCAGAGACCGAUAGCGCACAAGUAGAGUGAUCGAAAGAUGAAAAGCACUUUGGAAAGAGAGUUAAAAAGUACGUGAAAUUGUUGAAAGGGAAGCUCAAGCUGCCAGACUUGGCCGCGCCUCUUCGGUGGCGCGGGCAGGCCAGCAUCAGUCCGGGCGGCCUGAUAAAGACCUUUGGAAUGUAGCUCCCUCGGGAGUGUUAUAGCCUCGGGUGUAAUGGGGUCAGCCUGGACUGAGGAUCGCGUUCGCUAGGAUGCUGGCGUAAUGGCAGUUUGCGACCCGUCUUGUAACACGGACCAAGGAGUCUAACAUACGUGCGAGUACUAUGGUGGCAAACCAUUGUGCGCAAUGAAAGUGAAGGCUGGCUUCCGUCAGCUGAGGUGGGAUCCGCAAGGAGCACCAUCGACCGACCAUGUCCCUUCGGGGUAAAGGUUUGAGUGUGAGCAUUUAUGUUGGGACCCGAAAGAUGGUGAACUAUGCCUGAAUAGGGCGAAGCCAGGGGAAACUCUGGUGGAGGCUCGUAGCGAUUCUGACGUGCAAAUCGAUCGUCAAAUUUGGGUAUAGGGGCGAAAGACUAAUCGAACCAUCUAGUAGCUGGUUCCCUCCGAAAUUUCCCUUAGGAUAGCUGCAACCGGUUAAGAGUUUUAUCAGGUAAAGCGAAUGAUUAGAGGAUUCGGGGACGGAAUGUCCUCGACCUAUUCUCAAACUUUAAAUGGGUAAGAACCCGGGGUUGCUUAAUUGAACCCUGCGGUCGAAUCUCGGUUGCUAGUGGGCCAGUCCGGGUAAGCUGGACUGGCGAUGCGGGAUGAUCCGAACGCUGAGUUAAAGUGCCUAACUGCUCGCUCACCUAGAUCCCACAAAAGGUGUUGGUUCAUCCAGACAGCAGGACGGUGGCCAUGGAAGUCGGAAUCCGCUAAGGAGUGUGUAACAACUCACCUGCCGAAUGAACUAGCCCUGAAAAUGGAUGGCGCUCAAGCGUGCUACCCAUACCUCGCCGCCGGGGUAGAAACGAUGCCCCGGCGAGUAGGCUGGCGUGGAGGCCCGUGACGAAGCCUAGGGAGUGAUCCCGGGUAGAACGGCCUCUAGUGCAGAUCUUGGUGGUAGUAGCAAAUACUCAAAUGAGAACUUUGAGGACUGAAGUGGGGAAAGGUUCCAUGUGAACAGCAGUUGGACAUGGGUUAGUCGAUCCUAAGGGGCAGGGAAACUCCGUUUUAACGUGCGCACUUGUGCGCCGCUCCCCGAAAGGGAAACCGGUUAACAUUCCGGUACCUGGAUGUGGAUUCUCCACGGCAACGUAACUGAAGGCGGAGACGUCGGCGGGGGCCCUGGGAAGAGUUCUCUUUUCUUCUUAACGGUCCAUCACCCUGAAAUCGGUUUGUCCGGAGCUAGGGUUUAACGGCCGGUAGAGCCCCGCACCUUUGCGGGGUCCGGUGCGCUCCCGACGACCCUUGAAAAUCCGCCGGAAGGAAUAGUUUUCACGCCAGGUCGUACUCAUAACCGCAGCAGGUCUCCAAGGUGAAAAGCCUCUAGUUGAUAGAACAAUGUAGGUAAGGGAAGUCGGCAAAAUAGAUCCGUAACCUCGGGAAAAGGAUUGGCUCU
rnacentral:rRNA from 1 species